GAAGAAUCAUCUCCUGCUUCAAUCUGCUGCUGGAUAGGAACUAAUCAGAGAGAGGCGGAAGGCGGAGAAGGAGGGAGUCAAGGGCUUUCCCGAUCACAAAUCUCACCUCCACUCCAACUCUCUUUAUACUUUUCUUGCAAAAAUAAUAAUCGAGAUAAGGAGGUGGUAGGGUUUCCAAAAACAAAAAUCGUAACCUUCAACCAUCUGGGGAAGACAAAAAUCCCACCCACCGCAACUCUCAGUUCGAAAGUAAAGGUGAGUUCAAAAUGUUCGGGUGUGAGGGGUGCGGGUGAAGUCGAAAAUUGCAAAUGUUACCGAGCCGGCUGCAGCAGAACAGGAGAAACUACGCUCCUGCGAGCGGGGACUCCGGAGUUGCUGGUCUCGCGGCGCUCGCCCUGCCCGCCCUGCUCGCCCUCAGCGGCUGUUUACCCUCGCCGAACUGCAGUGUAAAGGAGCAGAUGUUUUGCCAAACAUCCUGAUGUGUUGCUUUUUCUUAUGGGAGUGCAUAACUGUUCCUUCUGAUGCAUCAACUUGACAGCUGGUUGAUUUCAUGGAGCUGCUAAGAAGCCAUUAGUGGUGUCAUUGAAUUGAAACAGAACAGUCACUCCCAGCUUGAACUGCAAUUGUUAAUGUCUUUGUUGCUACUUUUGUGUUACUAUACAAGAUGUAGGAUAUCACAGUUGCAUGAAAGUUUCUGUUUUCUGUCUUACCUCCUUGAAUUAGUGAAAGAAUGUGUUAAACUUGAAUACUUUUGGUUUAAAGAUUUCUCAAAGAAAAAGAUUUUAAGUUGUAGUUUCGGACCUACUCCUAGCUAGGACUACUAAAAGAAGUGAUUUAGCACGAACUAAAUAAUGUGAUUUUGAUCCCUAGUUGAGAUUAUAUCAUCUUAAUGAUUUUUAAUAUACUUGAUAUCCUGAGGGAUUAAUUAAAUUACCUAGUUAGGUAUUUUAAGAGGUUUUUGAUUAUAUAAAAUUAAGUAUUUCAUACCACAAGGUUUUAAAAGAUUGUACUUUAUUUAAUAAAUACUGACUUGUUUGAUUAAAUAUUUCUUUAAACUUUUGUUGCAGAAGGUAAUCAGAAGAGAAAAGAAUUGCUGAGGAAAAGGCAGUUUUAUGUUUAAUUUUCUGUAUAAGAAGGUGAAGAUAAUAAAUAAUUGGUGAUCAUUUAAUGAUUUUAAAAUGGGAAUUAUAUUUUUAUUGUACUAAUAACUUUUAUUGAUAGUUUCAACUAUCAGACUAUGGUACUAAAUGGUGUCAAAUCAUCCCAUUGGUGCCUAAGUGUUUUCUACUUAUUUUAUUUAUUUAUUUAUUUGUUUAUUUAUUUAUUUAGUGGGAGAAGAGAUAGAAAAGAGGAAGAAUAAAGUGAUUAUUCUAAAAGAGAAAACAUUUUUUGAAAAAUUGUGUAAAAAAUCUUUAGGAUAAUAAGUUUAAGGAUAUAAUAUACUUUAUUCACUAUGUCAGGAGAUCUUUUGUAGUUCCAGUAUUUAUUCAUUUUUAAUUUUUAAAUCUUUAAAACAGUUUUUCAAAGAGCAUAAAAUUCAUAACAUUUAAAAUAGGAUGCCUUUAAAAAUAUUAAAAUGUGAAAUUGAUGAUGCGAAUAUAUGAUUUGCUAAGUUAAAUAGCAUUAGAAGGAUUUCCUAUACAAUAUAAACAAAUUGUAAGCACUUUUAGUACAUGCUGAGUGAUACCAGAAUUAUGAUUUCCUGAAAUUAUAAGUUUAUAGAAAUGUUUUCCUUUUAAAUAGAUCACACAUUACUAAGAUUUCUUUCAGGUAAUAUGCUUUCUCAACUCUUUUUAUGUAAUAGCUUUACAAUUCCUUAAAAAGAAAAGUAUUCUGUUAACCUUAGCCUGUGAUUCAGUUUUUAAGAAAUACACUUACUCAUAAGAUGUUUGUGUCAAGGCAGAUACUCAUAUAAACUGGAUUAAGGUAAAGAUAUUAAAUGUCAACUUUUUAAAAAAGGAAUCUCAAUGCUUAACUCAUUUUUACAGGUAAUGUAGUCUUAAUUAUAGUGUAGUGCAAAUCAGCAUUCCAUUGUUUAAGCAGGAAUUUUCCUACAUUGGGUAGAGGGCAAUUCUAAACAGAAGAAUCAUAAAAAAUUUAAACUUUCAUUCAUGAGUUUUUCUGUUGACCAUAUUAGCUUUGAAGUUACGGGCAAUGAGUAUAAUUUAUAAUUACAUAUGAAAUUAUAAAAUAUU
rnacentral:lncRNA from 1 species